UACGGAGGGGGCUAGCGUUGUUCGGAAUUACUGGGCGUAAAGCGCACGUAGGCGGACUUGUAAGUCAGGGGUGAAAUCCCGGGGCUCAACCUCGGAACUGCCUUUGAUACUGCAAGUCUCGAGUCCGGGAGAGGUGAGUGGAAUUCCGAGUGUAGAGGUGAAAUUCGUAGAUAUUCGGAAGAACACCAGUGGCGAAGGCGGCUCACUGGCCCGUAUCUGACGCUCAGGCGCGACAGCGUGGGGAGCAAACAGG
rnacentral:rRNA from 1 species